rnacentral:rRNA from 1 species
UGCGUAGGCGGGCCCGUCAGUGUCUUGUGAAAACCCACGGCUCAACCGUGGAACUGCUUGGCAUACUGCGGGCCUUGAGGUCGAAAGAGGUCGCCGGAACUCUAGGUGUAGCGGUGAAAUGCGUAGAUAUCUAGAGGAACGCCCAAGGCGAAGGCAGGCGGCUGGGUCGAUCCUGACGCUGAGGCACGAAAGUAUGGGUAGCGAACG